rnacentral:rRNA from 1 species
AACGGCCGUACCAUGCUGAAUAUACCGGUUCUCGUUAGAUCACUGAAGUCAAGCAUCAUUGGGCGCGGUCAGUACUUGGGUGGGUGACCACCUGGGAACACCGCGUGCCGUU